rnacentral:rRNA from 1 species
UGGGGAAUUUUCCGCAAUGGGCGAAAGCCUGACGGAGCAAUACCGCGUGAGGGAAGACUGCCUAUGGGUUGUAAACCUCUUUUUUCAGGGAGGAAUAAAUGACGUGUACCUGAAGAAUAAGCAUCGGCUAACUCCGUGCCAGCAGCCGCGGUAAUACGGGAGUGGCAAGCGUUAUCCGGAAUUAUUGGGCGUAAAGCGUCCGCAGGCGGCUUUUCAAGUCUGCUGUUAAAGCGUGGAGCUUAACUCCAUCAUGGCAGUGGAAACUGAAAGGCUUGAGUAUGGUAGGGGCAGAGGGAAUUCCCGGUGUAGCGGUGAAAUGCGUAGAUAUCGGGAAGAACACCAGUGGCGAAGGCGCUCUGCUGGGCCAUUACUGACGCUCAUGGACGAAAGCCAGGGGAGCGAAAGGG